UGUAGGUGGUAGGGAUCCGAAAGGUGACCGACCUUCGGGGAGCCUGCACAGGUGCUGCAUGGCUGUCGUCAGCUCGUGUCGUGAGAUGUCCGGUUAAGUCCGGUAACGAGCGCAACCCUCGCUGUAUGUUAUAUGUGUCAUACGGGACUGCCGGUAUCAAGCCGGAGGAAGGUGGGAUGACGUCAAGUCAGCAUGGCCUUUAUGUCUGGGGCUACACACACGCUACAAUGGCCAGUACAAUAGGUUGCAAAACCGCGAGGUGGAGCCAAUCCUAAAAGCUGGUCUCAGUUCGGAUUGCAGGCUGCAACUCGCCUGCAUGAAGUCGGAGUUGCUAGUAACCGCGCGUCAGCUAUAGUGCGGUGAAUACGUUCCCGGGCCUU
rnacentral:rRNA from 1 species